GGGUAUAGCUCAGGGGUAGAGUGCCUGCUUAGCAUGCACAAGGUCCUGGGUUCAAUCCCUAGUACCUCCA
rnacentral:tRNA from 1 species